UACGUAGGGGGCAAGCGUUGUCCGGAAUCAUUGGGCGUAAAGCGCGUGUAGGCGGCUAGGUAAGUCUGCUCUGAAAGCCUGGGGCUCAACCCCAGGAGGCGGGUGGAUACUGUCUAGCUUGAGUUCGGAAGAGGCCAGUGGAAUUCCCGGUGUAGCGGUGGAAUGCGCAGAUAUCGGGAGGAACACCAAUCGCGAAGGCAGCUGGCUGGGACGUAACUGACGCUGAGACGCGAAAGCGUGGGGAGCAAAC
rnacentral:rRNA from 1 species